AUUGAACGCUGGCGGCAUGCCUUACACAUGCAAGUCGAACGGCAGCGGACCUUCGGGUGCCGGCGAGUGGCGAACGGGUGAGUAAUAUAUCGGAACGUACCUUUCAGUGGGGGAGUAACGUAGCGAAAGUUACGCUAAUACCGCAUAUUCUGUGAGCAGGAAAGCAGGGGAGUCGCAAGACCUUGCGCUGAUUGAGCGGCCGAUAUCAGAUUAGCUAGUUGGUGAGGUAAAGGACUCACCAAGGCGACGAUCUGUAGCGGGUCGUGAGAGGAUGAUCCGCCACACUGGAACUGAGACACGGUCCAGACUCCUACGGGAGGCAGCAGUGGGGAAUUUUGGACAAUGGGCGCAAGCCUGAUCCAGCCAUGCCGCGUGAGUGAAGAAGGCC
rnacentral:rRNA from 1 species